CUUUUGAUGACAGUGAUCUGCUGGUGUGAAUGAGGAUAGUGGAUACAAACCGAUGGAGGUCACAGUGGAGGGCGAGGAGGAGCCCCUUCCAAUGAUGAUCAAAGCGGUGGUGGCGGCGCUGAGCAACCUCAAGAUCUAGAACAGCAGUGGCUCCAGUUUGUCAAGAUGCUAGUCGAUAAUACCAGAAGCCCUCAGUGUCUGGAUUGACAAGUUUAACCAAGUAGCAAAGCCCCUGCUAGAACAGAUUCGGGGGCUUCUGAAUGUUACCGAGGACAAGGCUGAGCUGUGAAUGUGUUGGAUAGUAACUUUCUUUUGCUUGUGUUGGGUUUUAAAUGGUUUACAGAUUGUUUACAUGGUUUGAAAGUUAUGUUUGGUUAUAAGGCUGGGACUCCUGGUGCUCUUUUGAGGAUGCAAUGCAUAUUUGGUAAAGAUUAAGUGAUUUAUUGGUAUUGAGUUUGGCAGUGUGGAAUGAAUCACAUUGUAUGGGUGAGUUGAUUCUUUUUAUGGUAAUAUGGAUAGUUAUACGCUUAUACACUACUUAUCAAAAGUUUGGUGUCUGUAAUAAUUCAUUCAUUAAUUUUACUUCUGCUUAGUCCCUUUAAUCAUCAGGGGUCGCCACAGUGGAAUAAACCACCAGCUUAUCCAGUGAAACAAUAUGUUUUACGCAGUGGAUGCCCUUCCAGCUGCAAUUUAGUACUGGGAAACACCCAUACACUUUAUUCUCACACAGAUACACUUCAGCCAAUUUAGUUUAUUCAAUUCACCCAUAGCACAUGUCUUUGGACUGUGGGGGAAGCCGGAGCACCUGGAGGAAACCCAUGCAAACAUGGGUAGAACAUGCAAACUACACACAGAAAAGCCAACUGAACUGUAAGGUGGCAGUGCUAACCACUGAGCCACCCAUGUUUUAAACUGAUCAAAAGUGACUGGUAAGACAAAUUUGUUUCAAAUAAAUACUCUUCUUUUGAACUUUUAUUAAUAAAAGUAAAGAAUAUUAAUAAGUGAUUCAUGGUUUCUACAAAAAAUAAAAUAAAUCAAAGCUGCAAGCAGCGAUGAAAGGGACCUUGCACCUGGGCUAACCCCCUUUGGUGGUCUUUGGAUAACAGAACAGUGUACAAUAACAAUUUAAGCUGAUAUAUAUAUA